CCUACGGGCGGCUGCAGUGAGGAAUAUUGGUCAAUGGGCGAGAGCCUGAACCAGCCAAGUCGCGUGAGGGAAGACGGUCCUAUGGAUUGUAAACCUCUUUUGCCGGGGAGCAAACAGCGGUACGUGUACCGCAUCGAGAGUACCCUGCGAACAAGCAUCGGCUAACUCCGUGCCAGCAGCCGCGGUAAUACGGAGGAUGCGAGCGUUCUCCGGAUUUAUUGGGUUUAAAGGGUGCGCCGGCGGCGCGUUAAGUCAGCGGUAAAAUUUCGUGGCUCAACCCCGACAAGCCGUUGAAGCUGGCUGGCUAGAGGGGGCGAGAAGUAUGCGGAAUGCGUGGUGUAGCGGUGAAAUGCAUAGAUAUCACGCAGAACUCCGAUUGCGAAGGCAGCAUACCGGCGCCCAACUGACGCUCAGGCACGAAAGCGUGGGUAUCGAACAGGAUUAGAUACCCCAGUAGUC
rnacentral:rRNA from 1 species